GAUCAUGGCUCAGGAUGAACGCUGGCGGCGUGCCUAAUACAUGCAAGUCGAACGCGGGCAGUAAUGUCCGAGUGGCGAACGGGNGAGUAAGACAUAAGUAACCUGCCCUUUACAGGGGGAUAACUAUUGGAAACGAUAGCUAAGACCGCAUAGGUAAAGAUACCGCAUGGUAGGUUUAUUAAAAGUGCCAAGGCACUGGUAGAGGAUGGACUUAUGGCGCAUUAGCUGGUUGGUGAGGUAACGG
rnacentral:rRNA from 1 species